GACGAACGCUGGCGGCGUGCUUAACACAUGCAAGUCGAGCGGAAAGGCCCUUUCGGGGGUACUCGAGCGGCGAACGGGUGAGUAACACGUGAGUAAUCUGCCCUUGGCUUUGGGAUAGCUUCGGGAAACCGAAAUUAAUACCGGAUAUGACCACUUUUCGCAUGAGAUGGUGGUGGAAAGUUUUUCGGCCAGGGAUGUGCUCGCGGCCUAUCAGCUUGUUGGUGGGGUAAUGGCCUACCAAGGCUUCGACGGGUAGCCGGCCUGUGAGGGUGACCGGCCACACUGGGACUGAGACACGGACCAGACUCCUACGGGAGGCAGCAGUGGGGAAUAUUGGACAAUGGGCGGAAGCCUGAUCCAGCAACGCCGCGUGAGGGAUGACGGCCUUCGGGUUGUAAACCUCUUUCACCACCGACGAAGCGCGAGUGACGGUAGGUGGGGAAGAAGCACCGGCCAACUACGUGCCAGCCGCCGCAGUAAGAC
rnacentral:rRNA from 1 species